rnacentral:rRNA from 1 species
AGUGAACGCUGGCGGUAGGCCUAACACAUGCAAGUCGAACGGCAGCACAGUAAGAGCUUGCUCUUACGGGUGGCGAGUGGCGGACGGGUGAGGAAUACAUCGGAAUCUACUUUUUCGUGGGGGAUAACGUAGGGAAACUUACGCUAAUACCGCAUACGACCUACGGGUGAAAGCAGGGGAUCUUCGGACCUUGCGCGAUUGAAUGAGCCGAUGUCGGAUUAGCUAGUUGGCGGGGUAAAGGCCCACCAAGGCGACGAUCCGUAGCUGGUCUGAGAGGAUGAGCAGCCCCACGGGAGCGGAGACACGGUCCAGGCUCCUACGGGAGGCAGCAGUGGGGAAGAUGGGACAAGGGGGGCAAGCCUGAUCCAGCCAUGCCGGGUGGGUGAAGAAGGCCUUGGGGUGGUAAACCCCUUUUGUGGGGAAAAAAAAGCAGCAGGUUAAAACCCCGUUGUUUGACCGGAACCCAAAAAAAAACCCCCGCCAAAUUCGUG